AUUGAACGCUAGCGGGAUGCUUUACACAUGUAAGUCGAACGGCAGCGCGGACUUCGGUCUGGCGGCGAGUGGCGAACGGGUGAGUAAUGUAUCGGAACGUGCCCAGUAGCGGGGGAUAACUACGCGAAAGCGUAGCUAAUACCGCAUACGCCCUACGGGGGAAAGCAGGGGAUCGUAAGACCUUGCACUAUUGGAGCGGCCGAUAUCGGAUUAGCUAGUUGGUGAGGUAACGGCUCACCAAGGCGACGAUCCGUAGCUGGUUUGAGAGGACGACCAGCCACACUGGGACUGAGACACGGCCCAGACUCCUACGGGAGGCAGCAGUGGGGAAUUUUGGACAAUGGGGGCAACCCUGAUCCAGCCAUCCCGCGUGUGCGAUGAAGGCCUUCGGGUUGUAAAGCACUUUUGGCAGGAAAGAAACGUCGCGGGCUAAUACCCCGUGGAACUGACGGUACCUGCAGAAUAAGCACCGGCUAACUACGUG
rnacentral:rRNA from 1 species